rnacentral:rRNA from 1 species
GGCUCAGAUUGAACGCUGCGGCACUGCCUUACACAUGCGAAGUCGAACGGCAGCACGGGGGCGAACCCGUGGUGGCGAGUGGCGAACGGGUGAGUAAUACGAUCGGAACGUGGCCCAGUAGUGGGGGACGUAGCCCGGCGAAAGCCGGAUUAAUACCGUAUACGACCUACGGGUGAAAGCGGGGGAUCGCAAGACCUCGCGCUAGUGGAGCGGCCGAUGGCAGAUUAGCUUGUUGGUGGGUAAAGGCCUACCAAGGCGACGAUCUGUAGCUGGUCUGAGAGGACGACCAGCCACACUGGGACUGAGACACGGCCCAGACUCCUACGGGAGGCAGCAGUGGGGAAUUUUGGACAAUGGGCGCAAGCCUGAUCCAGCCAUGCCGCGUGCGGGAAGAAGGCCUUCGGGUUGUAAACCGCUUUUGUCAGGGAAGAAAAGCACCGGUCUAAUACACCGGUGUCAUGACGGUACCUGAAGAAUAAGCACCGGCUAACUACGUG